rnacentral:rRNA from 1 species
CCUACGGGUGGCAGCAGUGAGGAAUAUUGGUCAAUGGACGAGAGUCUGAACCAGCCAAGUAGCGUGAAGGAUGACUGCCCUAUGGGUUGUAAACUUCUUUUAUAAAGGAAUAAAACGAGGCACGUGUGCCUUUUUGCAUGUACUUUAUGAAUAAGGAUCGGCUAACUCCGUGCCAGCAGCCGCGGUAAUACGGAGGAUCCGAGCGUUAUCCGGAUUUAUUGGGUUUAAAGGGAGCGUAGAUGGGUUGUUAAGUCAGUUGUGAAAGUUUGCGGCUCAACCGUAAAAUUGCAAUUGAUACUGGCAGUCGUGAGUACAGUUGAGGUGAGCGGAAUUCGUGGUGUAGCGGUGAAAUGCUUAGAUAUCACGAAGAACCCCGAUUGCGAAGGCAGCUUACUAAACUGUGACUGACAUUGAUGCUCGAAAGUGUGGGUAUCAAACAGGAUUAGAUACCCUUGUAGUC